UUGUGGAGAAGGACGCCGAAGGUGGGGCUGAUGACUGGGGUGAAGUCGUAACAAGGUAGCCGUACCGGAAGGUGCGGCUGGAUCACCUCCUAACAGGGAGACAAUAAAUUGAUUGUGAUGUCUAAGUUAUUUAUUCUUAGGCCGCAAUCCUGUCACCUUAAGGUCGAUCGGUACCUCAGAUUUUUGAAUUAGUUUUAUAAUCGAUUCUUUGAUUUCAGUUCCUAAACUUGUCUAGGUCACACCCAACAAAGGUUUCUCCUGGGCCAUUAGCUCAGGUGGUUAGAGCGCACCCCUGAUAAGGGUGAGGUCCCUGGUUCAAGUCCAGGAUGGCCCAUUCGUUGUUGGGGGUAUAGCUCAGUUGGUAGAGCGCCUGCUUUGCAAGCAGGAUGUCAGCGGUUCGAGUCCGCUUACCUCCACUGAAAACUAUCCUGAUAACUAAAUUCUGGAGAAAAAUUGUAAAUGUGGCUUAGAAUUGUCUAUCGAAAAAGAACCUAGCUUCUUAUCAUCUUUUUAAAGUUGAUAAAAUGCUGGGCUCGCAUGGAUUAUUUCCAUGAGAAUUCAGUAGAACCUUGAAAACUGCAUAGAUUAGAAAGAAUAAAGCAUCUCAUGGAUGCAUAAUUCUGUUUUUAUAAUUUAGCUUUAAAACUAAAUUAUCUAAUUUUAGAAUUCAUGUUUAAUUCUUGAGUAAAAGCCGAGCACAAUUGAUUUUGUGAUUGUAUUAAGUCAAGCUACAA
rnacentral:misc_RNA from 1 species